GAUUUUAACUUUGACUUCCGCUAGUCUGACAAAGUACAGGAAGCCUGUUCCCUCCCACUGUGGCCUGCUCUUACCAGCUGUUUAGAAUGCGUUCUGCAGACUUCACCGGGGCUCAUGAGAUAUGCAGCUUUCAACACAGAAAGGCUGUACAGGAAGCAUGGCUGGGAAGUGAGGCCUUAGGAAACUUACAACUAGAGGGAAGGCAAAGGGGAAGCAGACACAUCCUACAUGGCUGGAGCAGGAGGAAGAGAAGGAAGAGAUCUCAUAAGAACUCACUCAGUAUCAUGAGAACAUCAGGUAAGUCUGCCCCCAUGAUCCAAUCACCUCCCACCAGACCCGUUCUCCAACAUAGGGGAUUACCAUUUGACAUGUGAUUUGGGCAGGGACACAGAUCCAAACCAUAUCACUACCUCUGGGUGGGGAAGAUUUCUAUAGGAAAGUGUAGGCUGAGCAGACAGCCCUAAAUACAGCCACAUCUCUAAAGCCUGCUUAGUUCAAUUCCUCAGUAAAUCUCUGUGAACUCACCUCCCGGUUGGGGCUUUGGGAAGUUCCUGGCUGGCCAUUAGCAGGCAACAGAAUGUUUAGUGACAUAUUGUGUGGCAGAAACAAACCUGCACAAGUUCUAUUAUCCAUGGCAGUUUUUGUAGCACAAGCUUCCUUUACCAACAGCCCCAUCUGCUUUAAAAUACUUUAGAAACAUUUCAGCUCUAAGAAGCUCCUCUUUGCUUGAGAUUGAAAUCUCACCUUUACUGCUACUGACUGAAUGAUUCAAUUUAUUUGACAGUCUGGAAAAGACAAAAAGAGGGACAGUGGUUGCCAAGUGCUGGGGAGCGGCCAGAGAAGUUGAUUACCAAAGAGUGCAAGGGAAUUUUUUGUGGUGAUGGAAAUAUUAUUUCAUGGUUCUAUGUAUUUGUGAAAACUCAGAACAAUACCCUGAAAAGAGUGAUUUUCCUGCUACUGAAUGAUACCUCAAUAAAUGUGACCCAGCCUUCCA
rnacentral:lncRNA from 13 species